AACUUUUCAUUCAUUGGACGGUGAAACAUCUUACAACUCCAAAAUUGCGGACCACUACACUACCUCCACGAGACUUCAACGAGUUUGCAUCUCAUACUCAAUCACGAAAGCCACCAGCAUUAUUGCCAUCUCCAAGUCGACGACCGCCACCAGCAGUAUUGUUCGUAUUCUCCGGUGAAGUUAUCUAGCUCAAACAACGACCAUUAUUGCCCAUCUCCAAGUCCACAACGGCCACCAGUAUUGUUAGUCUUCUCCGGCAACGUCAUCUAGCUAAAACAAUGCUGUGGAUGAAAGUGAGAUAUUUAAGGAAGCAUUGAGAUCUUCUGAUCUUAAAAAGCAUGGAAAAACAAGGAUAACUCAUAGUAGAAGAAAGAGUGUGUUAGAAUCUUGUAAUUAUUGGAAUAUCUUGUGUGGGAGUUGGACCUCACAGCCACCGAAGAUUAACUCCUCAGCUUUUAGCGAUCCAGGACAAAAAAUUUCUUCCCCGGGAACUUCACCGUCGACCGCCCGCCAUCACAAGCUUCCUGGCUCCGACCCACACGCCGGCGCGUGAGCCCAAUUCCGGUGAUCUCUUCUUCAACAGCCACCUCUGACCGGUUCGCCUGAGUCCGGCCAUCCCUUUUUCGGUCACCCUCUUCACUGUCCCUUUCUCUUUUCAAGCCUAAGGUACUCACAACCCUCUUUUUAUCCACUGUCAGGUACAAAACUUGACAAAACUAUCUUCCAGACUCAGAAAUAUGACUUAAACCACUCUUCUCUAAUUCCCCUGUUAUUACUACUGUGAAGCUUCUAGGCAGUAGCAAUUAUGUUUCUUGGUCUUCUUCUAUUGAAUUAUGGUUUAUGGGACAAGGGUUUGAUGAUCAUUUAAGUAAAAAUGCUGUUGAUAUUUUAGAAAAAGAUAAGGCCACAUGGUCUAAAAUUGAUGCACAAUUGUUUAGUUUGGUGUGGCAUUCUCUUGAGCCCAAACUACUUCCCUUAUUUCAAUCUUGCUAAACCUAUUGUAAGGUCUAGACCAAAGCCAAGAUACUAUAUACCAAUGACAUACAAUGAAUAUACAAAGUUGUCUCUGAUAUUGUUAAUUAUGGCUAGUUAUCUUGGACAAGUUGAGACAUUACUUGAUGAGUUUAAUUUCAUUGUGCCUUUUUCAAAAAGUAUUGCUACACAAGAACAACAGAGGAAUGAAUUCUUCAUGGUUUUGGCGCUCAUAGGUCUUCGGCUUGAUCUUAGCUCAGUUCGAGAUCAAGUUCUGAGAGGUUCUGCCAUUCCCACCUUGGAGGAUAUCUUUGCUCGUCUCUUUCGCAUCUUUGUGACUCCAGUUUCACCACCUACUAUUGAAGCAUCUUUAUUUGCGGUACAAAAUAGUAGUCGCAAGUGGAAAGCUAACAAAUCUAAACACUAUACUCAUUGUGACAAGCUUGGUCAUACUUGGGAAAGUUGUUGGAAAUUGCACGGUAAACCAUCACAUAAUUUUACUAACGUAACUUAACAUUUUCUUGUAGCUGUUUCCCUUUUCUUUUUUUUUUUUUCUUUUUUUCCUUGAUUAUUGAUUGCUAAGAAGACAAAAUCUUGUUCUUUUUUCUACUAAAUUAUUUUAAGUUCAUUUUUUAGAAUGCA